GACGAACGCUGGCGGCGUGCCUAAUACAUGCAAGUCGAGCGGGCCUCCGGAGGUGCUUGCACCUCCGGAAGGCCAGCGGCGGACGGGUGAGUAACACGUGGGCAACCUGCCUUUGAGGCCGGGAUAACACCGGGAAACCGGUGCUAAUACCGGGUACGUCCUCUUUCGCGCCUGCGAGAGGGGAGAAAGACGGUCUUUAAGGCCGUCGCUCAAAGAGGGGCCCGCGGCGCAUUAGCUUGUUGGUGGGGUAAGGGCCUACCAAGGCGACGAUGCGUUGCCGGCCUGAGAGGGGGAUCGGCCACACUGGGACUGGGACACGGCCCAGACUCCUGCGGGAGGCAGCAGUAGGGAAUCAUCCGCAAUGGGCGAAAGCCUGACGGUGCAACGCCGCGUGAGUGAGGAAGGUUUUCGGAUCGUAAAGCUCUGUUGUGAGGGAAGAACAGCUUCCGGAGGAAAUGCCGGAGGUUUGCCGGUACCUCACCAGAAAGCCCCGGCUAACUACGUGCCAGCCGCCGCGGUAA
rnacentral:rRNA from 1 species